GUGGGGAAUAUUGCACAAUGGGCGCAAGCCUGAUGCAGCAACGCCGCGUGAGGGACGACGGCCUUCGGGUUGUAAACCUCUUUUAGCAGGGAAGAAGCGAAAGUGACGGUACCUGCAGAAAAAGCACCGGCUAACUACGUGCCAGCAGCCGCGGUAAUACGUAGGGUGCAAGCGUUGUCCGGAAUUAUUGGGCGUAAAGAGCUCGUAGGCGGUUUGUCGCGUCUGCUGUGAAAACCCGAGGCUCAACCUCGGGCCUGCGGUGGGUACGGGCAGACUAGGGUGCGGUAGGGGAGAUUGGAAUUCCUGGUGUAGCGGUGGAAUGCGCAGAUAUCAGGAGGAACACCGAUGGCGAAGGCAGAUCUCUGGGCCGUAACUGACGCUGAGGAGCGAAAGCGUGGGGAGCGAACAGGAUUAGAAACCCGAGUAGUCC
rnacentral:rRNA from 1 species